UACGUAGGGGGCAAGCGUUGUCCGGAAUCAUUGGGCGUAAAGAGCGUGUAGGCGGCCCGGUAAGUCCGCUGUGAAAGUCCAGGGCUCAACCCUGGGAUGCCGGUGGAUACUGUCGGGCUCGAGUCCGGAAGAGGAGUGUGGAAUUCCUGGUGUAGCGGUGAAAUGCGCAGAUAUCAGGAGGAACACCAAUGGCGAAGGCAGCACUCUGGGACGUGACUGACGCUGAGGCGCGAAAGCGUGGGGAGCAGGCAGG
rnacentral:rRNA from 1 species